UGAGGAAUAUUGGACAAUGGGCGCAAGCCUGAUCCAGCAAUGCCGCGUGCAGGAUGAAGGCCUUCGGGUUGUAAACUGCUUUUGUACGGAGCGAAAAGGUCUGCCCUAAUACGGUGGGCUCAUGACGGUACCGUAAGAAUAAGCACCGGCUAACUACGUGCCAGCAGCCGCGGUAAUACGUAGGGUGCGAGCGUUAAUCGGAAUUACUGGGCGUAAAGCGUGCGCAGGCGGUUAUAUAAGACAGAUGUGAAAUCCCCGGGCUCAACCUGGGACCUGCAUUUGUGACUGUAUAGCUAGAGUACGGUAGAGGGGGAUGGAAUUCCGCGUGUAGCAGUGAAAUGCGUCGAUAUGCGGAGGAACACCGAUGGCGAAUGCAAUCCCCUGGACCUGUGCUGACGCUCAUGCACGAAAGCGUGGGGAGCAAACA
rnacentral:rRNA from 1 species